CACAAGGGAAGAAUCUCUGCUUGGAGAUUACCCCUUUGUGAAGUCUUCUCAGGGAGCCUACAUCUUUGGAAAUAGGAAUGCCUCAGGAAGGUAACCUUGAUGUGGAUGAUAUGGAUGAAAAGGGAGGUGCUUCACAGUUAUAAAAGCUGAAAUAUCAUUGUGUUAAAAUACCACCUGCUGCAGGUGCCAGAGCAACACAGCAAUGGCAAAAUGUUGGUGGGAAGAACAUCUGGGACAAUGCCUUCUGUCCUUGUCUGGCAGGAUAGAAUACUGAACUCUCUUCUUUAACCUCUCCACUCUUGGCACUUUCCUGUACGAUGGACCUCAGAAUGAUGCAAGACUGUAGUCUUUGUGACAGAAUCCCUCUGAGAGUGAAACAAUUUCUUUUCAUCUGUUGUCUUUCCCCUGGGCACCUACCAUAGCUUUUUUCUGUGUUUCUCAAACUUUUUCACUGGAGCAUUUUUCAGAAAAUUUGUAGCUCUUCUCCAUCCCAAACCAACAGAUUUUUGGAGAGUUGUUAAAAUCAUUAUCUGCAUUAGUAUUAAGCAAUUCAAAUGCAUAGUUAGGUCAUUAAAGACCUGCAGAGCUAAUGAGACACUCUUUCAUUACUCCUUUUUCCUGUCGUCCAAGGUCAUCUCACUGAGGGGACUCUCAGCUGUACACUCAUGAUCCCAGGUUUUGCAUUACUCUAUAGUCUGUAGUGUAGUCCUUUAGAUAGCAGCAUCUAUUAGCAUUUUGAUGAGACCCUGCAGGCUCUCUGCUGUUAUUUCCAUGUAGCUCUCUCCAGACAUUGUGAUACACCAUGCCACCACACGCCUUUCAGCUGUACUGCCUUCUGCACACUGCCUUAGCCCAAACUCACAUCUCCAGUAUCACACAGUAGCCUUCAGCUUUCAUUUUGUGGCACCUAGACCCAUUACGUGAUCUUUAAUUCAAUUUUUACAUGCAUCACUCUAGGAGCCAGACCUGGCUCCUGGCAAGAAGGAGCUGGGCUGCGGAUGUGCCAGGCUGGGGGUACCAGCUUUAGUAAGGGGAGUAUACCGCUUAUGGCAGCUCUGGAUAGUUGAGAGUUGAGAAGUUCCUGCACACCUCUUCUUCCAGAGAAGGCUUAUGCUUUCUGGUUGGUGUUGAAUAGUCCAAGAUCUACUUAUAGUCAUCCUGAUUUUUAUUUAAUGUAGGUAAGAUCAGAUGGCUAGCAGGGCACAAAUGAAGUGUGGUAGGUCUCUACUGGGUGGUAGCCUCUUCGGAUGGCCUUGCUCAGGUAGGGGUUCAGUUGACCCUGUCUGUUCAGGGCAGAGGCAGGCUGACCUCGUCCAUCACAGGAACAGCAUAUGAGCAGCAACUCAGCUGGCACCAAGUCUGUUGGGCUUCUGACUUUUGGCAUUCUCCUGAUAGGUGAUGUUGACAAAAUCUUUUUAUCUGUGUAUACCUUGCUUUCAUCCUCAGUGAAGCCUGUGUAAUGCUCUCAAAUUGCUUGGAAAGCAUGCUGAGAUCUAGUCAUAAUAGACAAUGUAAGAGUUAGGACUUACUAUUUCGUUAUUAACUUGCUUCACUACAUUAUGUAUCUAACUUUGGGACUUGCUUUCUUUGUUACUUUGAAGUUUAUUAUGUUACUGUUGUUUUUAAUAUGCAUGGCAGUAAUUAUGAAUAUCAGUGCAUACACAAUAACUAAGUGUACGUAUAUGCUUACUGACCUUGCUAUUAUAAUAAACUUUCUUCAAGUAUUUGUUGUCCGUCUAGAGACGUCUUAUAAACUGUUUAGUUAUUAAAGUUGCUAGUUUUUACUAUGAAAUACAAAAGUGGAAAACAGAUAUAACUAUGUCCUCAAGUGCCUGCUUAAUUUUAAAAUAAGUCUGCUUUUUGUUUUCUCUUGACUCAGUCAGUCCUGCAAGGAUUCUUGUCUUGAUGAUUUCAAAUGAACUGUUCACAUAUUUAACUGUUAAUGAGAUAAAGAUGGGUUUUGUUGGAUUGGAUUCUGCUUGACAAAGACCAUUAAAUUUUAGAUAUUUGCUACGCUGAGAAGAAAUUAAUUUCAUACUGAAGAUAACAGCUGAAAACACUGGAGGCAAUGUUUCUUAAACAGUUGAUAAAAAUGAUAAAUUUAACUUGUAGCUAUCCAGCCUUUUAUAAUAUAAAUGAUAUUGUCCCAAGGAUGCUGAUUAUUAUUAUUAUUAUUAUUAUUAUUUUAAAUGACUGUCACUGUCUGUAGUUGCCAAAUAAUAAACGUAGAAAUUUGUAAUGAAUCUAGACACCCACAUUAUAUGCCAAAUUUUGACCUUU